rnacentral:piRNA from 1 species
UGGUAAUGGAUGACAGAAGUGAACAGGG